CAAACUGGAGAUGGCGACCGGCGCACGGGUGAGUAACACGUAUCCAACCUGCCGAUGACUCGGGGAUAGCCUUUCGAAAGAAAGAUUAAUACCCGAUGGCAUAGUUCUUCCGCAUGGUAGAACUAUUAAAGAAUUUCGGUCAUCGAUGGGGAUGCGUUCCAUUAGGUUGUUGGCGGGGUAACGGCCCACCAAGCCUUCGAUGGAUAGGGGUUCUGAGAGGGAGGUCCCCCACAUUGGAACUGAGACACGGUCCAAACUCCUACGGGAGGCAGCAUG
rnacentral:rRNA from 1 species